UCCCUGGUGGUCUACUGGCUAGGAAUCAGCACUUUCACUGUUGUGGCCCCAGGUUCAAUUCCUGGUCGAGGAA
rnacentral:tRNA from 1 species